rnacentral:misc_RNA from 1 species
GAUGAAGAACGUAGCGAAAUGCGAUAAGUAAUGUGAAUUGCAGAAUUCAGUGAAUCAUCGAAUCUUUGAACGCACAUUGCGCCCGCCAGUAUUCUGGCGGGCAUGCCUGUUCGAGCGUCAUUUCAACCAUCAAGCCCUGCUUGCGUUGGGGUCCUGCGGCUGCCCGCAGGCCCUGAAAACCAGUGGCGGGCUCGCUAGUCACACCGAGCGCAGUAAUACAUCUCGCUUUGGGCGUGCGGCGGGUUCUUGCCGUUAAACACCCCCUUUUUACCAAGGUUGACCUCGGAUCAGGUAGGACUACCCGCUGAACUUAAGCAUAUCAAUAAGCGGAGGA